ensembl:lncRNA
CAGGUAUUCCUUCAUGAAGUUUCUCUUCAGGGAACAGAAGUUCAAACUAUUCAGCACCCCUUCUUUUACAUGACCUACUUUAAACCUGAUACAAUGCAGCGUGCUCAGAGAGGACAAUGUUAUUGUUGUUGGCUCUAACACGUCAAAACAACAGUCUUGAAAACUUGUGUCUAAAGAUGUGAUGUCACUAUGUUGACAGCAGAGCGGAGAUGAAGCAUCCUGGAGGAAGCCUUUGAUUUCUCUGCACCCACUACUGCCUGAAACAGCGCUGCGGGUCCUCACACCUCUCUGAGUCGAUCCUUCCCUUUCCGGAGCAGAAUAAAGAACAACCCAAACAGCAGCCAAUCCUUAACGCCCACAGACAGCAGCAUUCCAGCUCUGGAGCGCGGUAGAACCGACUGCCUCAG